rnacentral:rRNA from 1 species
UAGGGAAUUUUCCACAAUGGACGAAAGUCUGAUGGAGCAACGCCGCGUGAACGAUGAAGGCUCUCGGGUCGUAAAGUUCUGUUGUUAGGGACGAACAAGUGCCGUUCGAAUAGGGCGGCACCUUGACGGUACCUAACGAGAAAGCCACGGCUAACUACGUGCCAGCAGCCGCGGUAA